rnacentral:lncRNA from 1 species
UAUAUAUACGAAGACAAUUUCGUUUUUUUUUUUUUUUAAUAUCUUUUUUCUUUAUGUUCGCAAACCGUCAUUAUUACCAGGAUUUAUAAUUGGCAAAAAUUUGUAUGCGUUAUAACUUAUGGUGUGCUCUACAAAUUUUGCCCUUAUCUAUAAAGAUACUUCACUUUAAAUGUUCUAAUAGGGUAUUAAAUUUGAUUUGAAGUGUCCUAAUAGAAUGGUAUUCAAUUAAAUUUGAUUAAUGACAAGUUAUCUUUGUAGGAUUUCUAGUACAAUUUGUCCUUUUCAAUUCA